UACGAAGGGGGCUAGCGUUGUUCGGAUUUACUGGGCGUACAGCGCACGUAGGCGGAUCGUUAAGUCGGGGGUGAAAUCCUGGAGCUCAACUCCAGAACUGCCUUCGAUACUGGCGAUCUUGAGUCCGGAAGAGGUGAGUGGAACUCCUAGUGUAGAGGUGGAAUUCGUAGAUAUUAGGAAGAACACCAGUGGCGAAGGCGGCUCACUGGUCCGGUACUGACGCUGAGGUGCGAAAGCGUGGGGAGCAAACAGG
rnacentral:rRNA from 1 species